rnacentral:rRNA from 1 species
CCUACGGGAGGCAGCAGUGAGGAAUAUUGGUCAAUGGACGAGAGUCUGAACCAGCCAAGUAGCGUGAAGGAUGACUGCCCUAUGGGUUGUAAACUUCUUUUAUAUGGGAAUAAAUUGUUCAACGUGAGGGAUUUUGUAUGUACCAUAUCAUUAAGGAUCGGGUAAAUCCGUGCCAGCAGCCGAGGUAAUACGGAGGAUCCGAGCGUUAUCCGGAUUUAUUGGGUUUAAAGGGAGCGUAGGUGGAUUUUUAAGUCAGUUGUGAAAGUCUGCGGCUCAACCGUAAAAUUGCAGUUGAAACUGGCAGUCUUGAGUACAGUAGAGGUGAGCGGAAUUCGUUGUGUAGCGGUGAAAUGCUUAGAUAUCACGAAGAACACCGAUUGCGAAGGCAGCUCACUGGACUGCAACUGACGCUGAGGCUCGAAAGUGUGGGUAGCAAACAGGAUUAGAUACCCGAGUAGUC